rnacentral:tRNA from 2 species
GGGCCGGUCGUCUAGUGGGAGGAUGCCGCCUUCGCACGGCGGUGGUCCCGGGUUCGAAUCCCGGCCGGUCCA